rnacentral:tRNA from 1 species
GGGGCUGUGGCUCAGUGGCAGAGCACUUGCCUCAUACAUAUGAGGCACUGGGUUAGAACCUCAGCACCA